GACAGAGGGUGCAAACGUUGUUCGGAAUCACUGGGCGUAAAGCGCGUGUAGGCGGCUUGGCAAGUCGGAUGUGAAAUCCCGGGGCUCAACCCCGGAAGUGCACUCGAUACUGCCAAGCUAGAGUCCUGGAGAGGAAGGUGGAAUACUUGGUGUAGAGGUGAAAUUCGUAGAUAUCAAGUAGAACACCGGUGGCGAAGGCGGCCUUCUGGACAGUGACUGACGCUGAGACGCGAAAGCGUGGGGAGCAAACAGG
rnacentral:misc_RNA from 1 species